rnacentral:rRNA from 1 species
CAAAGGUGAGCCAGUACAGGAUGGACCCGCGUCUGAUUAGCUAGUUGGUAAGGUAACGGCUUACCAAGGCGACGAUCAGUAGCCGACCUGAGAGGGUGAUCGGCCACAUUGGAACUGAGACACGGUCCAAAUUCCUACGGGAGGCAGCAGUGGGGAAUAUUGCACAAUGGGCGAAAGCCUGAUGCAGCAACGCCGCGUGAGUGAUGAAGGCCUUCGGGUCGUAAAACUCUGUCCUCAAGGAAGAUAAUGACGGUACUUGAGGAGGAAGCCCCGGCUAACUACGUGCCAGCAGCCGCGGUAAUACGUAGGGGGCUAGCGUUAUCCGGAUUUACUGGGCGUAAAGGGUGCGUAGGCGGUCUUUCAAGUCAGGAGUGAAAGGCUACGGCUCAACCGUAGUAAGCUCUUGAAACUGGGAGACUUGAGUGCAGGAGAGGAGAGUGGAAUUCCUAGUGUAGCGGUGAAAUGCGUAGAUAUUAGGAGGAACACCAGUUGCGAAGGCGGCUCUCUGGACUGUAACUGACGCUGAGGCACGAAAGCGUGGGGAGCAAACAGGAUUAGAUACCCUGGUAGUCCACGCUGUAAACGAUGAGUACUAGGUGUCGGGGGUUACCCC